UACGUAGGUGGCAAGCGUUGUCCGGAAUUACUGGGCGUAAAGCGUGCGUAGGUGGUUUGUUAAGUCUGUUGUGAAAGCCCCGGGCUCAACCUGGGAAUGGCAAUGGAUACUGGCAGGCUAGAGUGCGGUAGAGGGUAGUGGAAUUCCCGGUGUAGCGGUGAAAUGCGUAGAGAUCGGGAGGAACACCAGUGGCGAAGGCGGCUACCUGGACCAGCACUGACACUGAGGCACGAAAGCGUGGGGAGCAAACAGGG
rnacentral:rRNA from 1 species